GGCUGGUCCUAUGCAGCAGUGUUUACAACUAAUUGAUCACAACCGGUUACAGGUUUCUUUGUUCCUUUUCCACUCCUACUGCUUCAUUUGACUAGCAGUUC
rnacentral:Y_RNA from 1 species